AAGUCCUGAGGAGUCCCACAAUAGGACGAAACGGUCGUCCAGUGU
rfam:Schistosoma rodhaini strain Burundi genome assembly, scaffold: SROB_scaffold0023266